rfam:Dictyocaulus viviparus strain HannoverDv2000 D_viviparus-1.0_Cont58.61, whole genome shotgun sequence.
GCAUCGGUAGUAUAAUGGAUCAGUACGGCAGAUCGGAUAUCUGUAAGUGCGGGUUCGAGUCUCGCCUGAGGUU